AUUGAACGCUAGCGGGAUGCCUUACACAUGCAAGUCGAACGGCGUGGCGAACGGGUGAGUAAUGUAUCGGAACGUGCCCAGUCGCGGGGGAUAACUACGCGAACGCGUAGCUAAUACCGCAUACUAUUGGAGCGGCCGCUAUCGGAUUAGCUAGUUGGUGGGGUAACGGCCCACCAAGGCGACGACCCGUAGCUGGUUUGAGAGGACGACCAGCCACACUGGGUCUGAGACUCGGCCCAGACGCCGACGGGAGGCAGCAGUGGGGAAUUUGGGACAAUGGGGGAAACCCUGAUCCAGCCAUCCCGCGUGUGCGAUGAAGGCCUUCGGGUUGUAAAGCACUUUUGGCAGGAAAGCGGUACCUGCAGAAUAAGCACCGGCUAACUACGUGCCAGCAGCCGCGGUAAUUC
rnacentral:rRNA from 1 species